AUACGUAGGGUGCAAGCGUUAAUCGGAAUUACUGGGCGUAAAGCGUGCGCAGGCGGUUUUGUAAGACAGUGGUGAAAUCCCCGGGCUCAACCUGGGAACUGCCAUUGUGACUGCAAGGCUGGAGUGCGGCAGAGGGGGAUGGAACUCCGCGUGUAGCAGUGAAAUGCGUAGAUAUGCGGAGGAACACCGAUGGCGAAGGCAAUCCCCUGGGCCUGCACUGACGCUCAUGCACGAAAGCGUGGGGAGCAAACAGGAUUAGAUACCCUGGUAGUCCACGCCCUAAACGAUGUCAACUGGUUGUUGGGGAUUUAUUUUCUCAGUAACGAAGCUAACGCGUGAAGUUGACCGCCUGGGGAGUACGGCCGCAAGGUUAAAACUCAAAUGAAUUGACGGGG
rnacentral:rRNA from 1 species